UACGAAGGGGGCUAGCGUUGCUCGGAAUCACUGGGCGUAAAGGGUGCGUAGGCGGGUCUUUUAAGUCAGGGGUGAAAUCCUGGAGCUCAACUCCAGAACUGCCUUUGAUACUGAAGAUCUUGAGUCCGGGAGAGGUGAGUGGAACUGCGAGUGUAGAGGUGAAAUUCGUAGAUAUUCGCAAGAACACCAGUGGCGAAGGCGGCUCACUGGCCCGGUACUGACGCUGAGGCACGAAAGCGUGGG
rnacentral:rRNA from 1 species